rnacentral:antisense_RNA from 1 species
UGUGGGAGCGGGCUUGCUCGCGAAGGCGUCGUGUCAGUCAACAUUUUCAGCGACUGAUACACCGCUUUCGCGAGCAAGCCCGCUCCCACA